rnacentral:lncRNA from 1 species
AGGGGCAAAAUCAUAAUUUUAUCAAAAUCCUGAUUUAAUAGUAUCAUUUGGUAGAACAAAAGAUUUGUGAUCUAUUGGUAAAAAUUUCAUUAUUUUUGGACUUGUAUUUUUGAAGUUAUGCAUGUUUGAAUUCCAUGAGUCGACUCAUGAGUCAGCUCAUGGCACAAUGAGCAGCUUGGCACGCUGAAAUUUCUGUUGGCACGCUGGAUUUUUGGCUUGGCACGACCUGUGAGUCGACUCAUGAGUCGACCCACAAGGCAUGAGUCGACUCAUGAGUCGACUUCUGCAUGUUUGGGCCAAAAAUUCUAGAAACCCAAUUUCUGGUUGUUGCAACAG